ACCUGCAGGGCUGGGAGCUGCAGGGGCCCCACCACCCGUGGCAGCUGGGGAGCUCCAGAAUCCCUCAGCCAUCCAUGGCGGCUGGAGAUCCCUGGGUCCCCCUGCCGCCGGGGACCCGGGGCGAGGGGCAGGGCUCUCCCACCAUCCGCGGCGGCUGGAGAGCUCCGGAUCCAACCGCCACCGCCGGCGGCCGGACAGUUCCAGGGUGCCCUGCCACCCAUGGCAGCUUGGGGGGCCGCACUGGCAGCAGUGGUGGGUCAGCUGCGGGCUUUCCCUUAGGGAGGGUCCCCCGCUGCCGGCGGUGGCUGGGCUGCUGCGGUGCCCCAGUGUCAGGGAGCUCUCUGGAAGUCCACGAUCGUAGCCGUAAUUCUGCAAUCCAGUAAGAGCGGCCCAAUACGAGAGAUCACCACCUCUUCCCCCACCACCACCCCUCUCUCAUAUGCGGAGGCUGGCACCGGCAGAGCGACACCUGCCCUGCCCGCUGUAACACCCACCAGCAUUUCCCAGCCCGGACACGCCCGCAGAUACAUUGUGAGGAUACAUCCAUUAAUGGUUGUGAAGUGAUCAGUUACUACAGUGAUGGAGCCAGUACAGAUGUGGCCUUCAGAAACACCCCACACACACCGGCUGAGCGUCUCCGCCAGAUAAGAAAGUGCCCAAGACGGAGCAAAGAAGACAUGUUCUGGGAGGUACUGCACUUCUCCAAUGCAGAGAAAAGGGAACACAAGGAGUGCAGGGAAGCCAAAAGGCAGGACAGAAAAGAAAAUCAGGAGUUUGUUAAAGACGCUACUGAGUGGAUGAUUAAGGUCAUGGAGGAGCAAACGCAGAUGCUGAAGUUCUGAAUAAUGCUGCAGACUGAGCAGAUCUGUGUCCACCCUCCCCUGAAGCACAUUCAGAACUCUUUUUCAUGCCCCCCCAUCAACUCCGCCUGCACAGUCUUUCCACUUUCUGGGACUUCUCGGUUUCCCCUUCACUGCACCCUCUUGGACAACUUUCAAAAUGGUAGCUGGACCUACACACAGCUCUGAAGGUCUGUCCUUCCCAGGUGUCUCCUUUCCCACCAAGCAUCGUUGUGUGUGUGUGAGUUGUUUCUUGUGAAAUAAAAACAAAG